CCUACGGGGGGCAGCAGUGGGGAAUAUUGGACAAUGGGGGGAACCCUGAUCCAGCCAUGCCGCGUGUGUGAAGAAGGCCCUCGGGUUGUAAAGCACUUUCAGUGAGGAAGAACGCCUGGUGGUUAAUACCCAUCAGGAAAGACAUCACUCACAGAAGAAGCACCGGCUAACUCCGUGCCAGCAGCCGCGGUAAUACGGAGGGUGCGAGCGUUAAUCGGAAUUACUGGGCGUAAAGCGCGCGUAGGUGGCUUGAUAAGCCGGUUGUGAAAGCCCCGGGCUCAACCUGGGAACGGCAUCCGGAACUGUCAAGCUAGAGUGCAGGAGAGGAAGGUAGAAUUCCGGGUGUAGCGGUGAAAUGCGUAGAGAUCGGGAGGAAUACCAGUGGCGAAGGCGGCCUUCUGGACUGACACUGACACUGAGGUGCGAAAGCGUGGGUAGCAAACAGGAUUAGAUACCCUAGUAGUC
rnacentral:rRNA from 1 species